CCUGAUAGCUCAGUUGGUAAAGAAUCUGCCUGCAAUGCAGGAGAUCCUGGUUCGAUUCCUGGGUCAGGA
rfam:TPA: Bos taurus chromosome 4, whole genome shotgun sequence.